UAGAGUUUGAUCNUGGCUCAGGACGAACGCUGGCGGCGUGCCUAAUACAUGCAAGUCGAGCGAGCGGAACCAACAGAUUUACUUCGGUAAUGACGUUGGGAAAGCGAGCGGCGGAUGGGUGAGUAACACGUGGGGAACCUGCCCCUAAGUCUGGGAUACCAUUUGGAAACAGGUGCUAAUACCGGAUAAUAAAGCAGAUCGCAUGAUCAGCUUUUGAAAGGCGGCGUAAGCUGUCGCUAAGGGAUGGCCCCGCGGUGCAUUAGCUAGUUGGUAAGGUAACGGCUUACCAAGGCGACGAUGCAUAGCCGAGUUGAGAGACUGAUCGGCCACAUUGGGACUGAGACACGGCCCAAACUCCUACGGGAGGCAGCAGUAGGGAAUCUUCCACAAUGGACGCAAGUCUGAUGGAGCAACGCCGCGUGAGUGAAGAAGGUUUUCGGAUCGUAAAGCUCUGUUGUUGGUGAAGAAGGAUAGAGGUAGUAACUGGCCUUUAUUUGACGGUAAUCAACCAGAAAGUCACGGCUAACUACGUGCCAGCAGCCGCGGUAAUACGUAGGUGGCAAGCGUUGUCCGGAUUUAUUGGGCGUAAAGCGAGCGCAGGCGGAAAAAUAAGUCUAAUGUGAAAGCCCUCGGCUUAACCGAGGAACUGCAUCGGAAACUGUUUUUCUUGAGUGCAGAAGAGGAGAGUGGAACUCCAUGUGUAGCGGUGGAAUGCGUAGAUAUAUGGAAGAACACCAGUGGCGAAGGCGGCUCUCUGGUCUGCAACUGACGCUGAGGCUCGAAAGCAUGAGUAGCGAACAGG
rnacentral:rRNA from 1 species